GACGUAGGGGGCAAGCGUUGUCCGGAAUCAUUGGGCGUAAAGCGCGUGUAGGCGGCUUGGUAAGUCCGCUCUGAAAGCCCGGGGCUCAACCCCGGGAGGCGGGUGGAUACUGUCAAGCUCGAGUCCGGAAGAGGCGAGUGGAAUUCCUGGUGUAGCGGUGAAAUGCGCAGAUAUCAGGAGGAACACCAAUUGCGAAGGCAGCUCGCUGGGACGUUACUGACGCUGAGACGCGAAAGCGUGGGGAGCAAACAGG
rnacentral:rRNA from 1 species